UACGUAGGGGGCUAGCGUUGUCCGGAAUCAUUGGGCGUAAAGAGCGUGUAGGCGGCUCGGUAAGUCCGCUGUGAAAGUCCAGGGCUCAACCCUGGAAUGCCGGUGGAAACUGUCAAGCUUGAGUCCGGAAGAGGCGAGUGGAAUUCCUGGUGUAGCGGUGAAAUGCGCAGAUAUCAGGAGGAACACCAAUGGCGAAGGCAGCUCGCUGGGACGGUACUGACGCUGAGACGCGAAAGCGUGGGGAGCAAACAGG
rnacentral:rRNA from 1 species